rnacentral:rRNA from 1 species
CAAUAGCGUAUAUUAAAGUUGUUGCAGUUAAAAAGCUCGUAGUUGGAGUUCAGAGUGAGCUCGUCCGGUCGGCCUUAUGGGUCAGAACUGGUUGACUCUCUCUUGUUUGUGGAUCCUGUCAGCAGUUAACUCUGUUGAUGUGGAGUCCACAUCGUUUACCUUGAAAAAUUAGAGUGCUCAAAGCAGGCUAUUACGCCUGAAUAUUCGUGCAUGGAAUAAUAGAAUAGGAAGUCGUUUCUAUUUUUGUUGGUUUUCGGAAAUCGACUUAAUGAUUAAUAGGGACAGUCGGGGGCAUUUGUAUUCAAACGACAGAGGUGAAAUUCUUGGACCGUUUGAAGACAAACUACUGCGAAAGCAUUUGCCAAGAAUGUUUUCAUUAAUCAAGAACGAAAGUUAAAGGUUCGAAGAUGAUUAGAU